UUGCGGAGUGCUUGUCUACUGCGAGUCAAAGGGUGUCAAAACCUUGCGGCGUAAUGAAAGUAAAGGUCAGUCUCGAAUUGGCCGACGUGGGAUCUGUGCUCUUCGGAGUGCUGCGCACCACGGCCCUAUGCGUGUCACUUGUGACUGUGUAGAGGUUGAGCAGUUGGCAAACGACCCGAAAGAUGGUGAACUAUGCCCGAGCAGGAUGAAGCCAGAGGAAACUCUGGUGGAAGUCCGUAUCGGUUCUGACGUGCAAAUCGAUCGAUAGACUUGGGUAUAGGGGCGAAAGACUAAUCGAACCAUCUAGUAGCUGGUUCCUUCCGAAGUUUCCCUCAGGAUAGCUGGAUCUCUGGCAGUUAUAUUCGGUAAAGCUAAUGAUUAGAGGCCUUGGGGGCGUAAUGCCCUCAACCUAUUCUCAAACUUUCAAUGGAUAUGAAGUUGCAGUUUCUUUAGUGAACUGUCAACGUGAAUGCGAGGUCCAAGUGGGCCAUUUUUGGUAAGCAGAACUGGCGCUGUGGGAUGAACCAAACGUGGAGUUAAGGCUGCUGUACCGUACAUCCGCCUUGGCCGUACAGCAGACGAUAGUCUUAAUGAUCACAGCUCCGUCGGCUGUGGCGCCAACCAACACAUACGCGCCUUUCUUUAUUUGAAUCAGUACACUGUUGCCUCAAGUAGACUGUGUGUUUUUGUUUGCAAAAACGGAAGCAUGCGGACGAACGUGGUGAUUGAGUUGUUGAGAGUCAAAUCUCGAUAAUAAGUACUAGCUUCAGCGAUGGAUCGGUUGCAUCGAGUAUCGAUGAAGAACGCAG
rfam:Caenorhabditis tropicalis strain JT1373 unplaced genomic scaffold Scaffold391, whole genome shotgun sequence.